rnacentral:rRNA from 1 species
AUACGGAGGGUACAAGCGUUAUUCGGAAUCACUGGGCGUAAAGGACGCGUAGGCGGGUUGGCAAGUCAGAUGUGAAAUCCUACAGCUUAACUGUAGAACUGCAUUUGAAACUGCUAACCUAGAGUAUGGGAGGGGGAGAUGGAAUUAGUGGUGUAGGGGUAAAAUCCGUAGAUAUCACUAGGAAUACCGAAAGCGAAGGCGAUCUCCUGGAACAUAACUGACGCUAAGGCGUGAAAGCGUGGGGAGCAAACAGGAUUAGAUACCCUAGUAGUCC